ACGAUUGCAUCCCGCGUGCCGCUUGCCUAUAUAGGGGAUGUCCUUCGGGACUAUGGACAUAAACGCGCUCGUAAUAAACGGAUCGGACCCGGGGGCGGUACCCGGCGGCUCCACCAACCACUUCUUUCGGCAGCAUCCUUCGUUUGGGGAUCACUUUCGAAAUCGUGGGGCCGAAAUAGGAUCGACGGACGUCUAAAGGGGUUAGCUUUGUCUCGGCUGUCUGCCACCGUUACCGGCGAAAACAGUACAAUUGCAAACGACAAUCGUGCUCCGGUUGCUCUGGCUGCGUAAGCAGUCCGGGUUGAACCGACUUUAAGCCCUAGCGCCUAGCCGCGUUAGGCGGGGUUCGCAGGUACCUGGCAACAGAAACCUGCACU
rfam:Tropicibacter litoreus R37 strain CECT 7639 genome assembly, contig: 0001